GACGAACGCUGGCGGCGUGCUUAACACAUGCAAGUCGAGCGGUAAGGCCCUUUCGGGGGUACACGAGCGGCGAACGGGUGAGUAACACGUGGGUGACCUGCCCUCAGCUCUGGGAUAAGCCUGGGAAACCGGGUCUAAUACCGGAUAUGACUCCAUGACGCAUGUUGUGGGGUGGAAAGCCUUGUGCGGCUGAGGAUGGGCCCGCGGCCUAUCAGCUUGUUGGUGGGGUGAUGGCCUACCAAGGCGACGACGGGUAGCCGGCCUGAGAGGGCGACCGGCCACACUGGGACUGAGACACGGGUCAGACUCCUACGGGAGGCAGCAGUCGGGAAUUUUGGGCAAUGGGCGCAAGCCUGACCCAGCAACGCCGCGUGAAGGAUGAAAUCCCUCGGGAUGUAAACUUCGCAAGAACAGGAAGAAUAAGUGGGGGACAAUACCCCCC
rnacentral:rRNA from 1 species